GACGAACGCUGGCGGCAUGCUUAACACAUGCAAGUCGAACGAGAAGUUCCGGCUUUGUGGGGGUCCGCUAGGUAAGAACUGGGGAGUAACACGUAAGUAACCUGCCCUUGACUUUGGGAUAACUUCAUGAAACUUGGUGUAAUACCAGAUAGGAUCUCCUGCUUCAUGGUGGGUGUGGGAAGGUUUCGGCAGUUGGGGAUGGACUCGCGGCUUAUCAGCUUGUUGGUUGGGUAGUGGCUUACCAAGGCUUUGACGGGUAGCCGGCCUGGGAUGGUGACCGGACAAAUUGGGACUGGGAUGAGGCACAGACUACUCCGGGAGGCAGCACUGGGGAAUAUUGCACAAUGGGAGGAAGGCUGACGCAGCACAGCCGUGUGCGGGAUGACGGCAUUCGCGUUGUAAACCGCUUUCGCCUGUGACGAAGCGUGAGUGACGGUAAUGGGUAAAGAAGCACCGGCUAACUACGUG
rnacentral:rRNA from 1 species